rnacentral:rRNA from 1 species
UACGUAGGGCGCAAGCGUUGUCCGGAAUUAUUGGGCGUAAAGAGCUCGUAGGCGGCCAGUUGCGUCUGCUGGGAAAUCCCGGGGCUCAACCCCGGGCGUGCAGUGGAUACGGGCUGGCUAGGGGCAGGCAGGGGAGAACGGAAUUCCCGGUGUAGCGGUGAAAUGCGCAGAUAUCGGGAGGAACACCGGUGGCGAAGGCGGUUCUCUGGGCCUGUACUGACGCUGAGGAGCGAAAGCGUGGGGAGCGAACAGG